UGUCUGUUCUGGUCUCAGUGUUCUGAAGACCUGGUGUGCUGACAUUUAAUCUCCAUCCUGAGAUAUCUCAAAGGAGUAGUCGUCUGACUGGAGUGGAGUCCUCAGAGAAUGAAGGGAGUUAGAAAAAGCCAUCAAGCAGAGUGCCUUCUCCGUGAGGCUUGCUGGCUGUAGAAAGGAAAAGAUGGUGAUGGUUAAGUCAGACCUGGAUGUGACCUACCGACAGAUCUUAUUCGAACAAGUGACUGAAAUAAUUUUCCUUCCGCUAUAUAAUGGGCAUAUCCACAGACCUUUCUUGGAGUAAGGACAGCAUAAAAACUUCCACAUGAGACCUGAUCCAUUCAUUUUCUUGUCAGCUGAUCAGCGAGGAUGCUGAACUCAGGAUAAAGUGGGGAGAGACAAGGGCUUGGUCCUGAAGAGAGUGUGACUACCUCCCUUGGGCAUGACCCUGCCCAGACUCGUGCCCAGAAAGACGCACAAGCCAGAAAUGCCUGCUUACCACAGUCCAGUAGGAAUUCUGAAACAUAAGUGGACACGAACCCCUUUCGACUCGUCCCCCAAAUCUGUGAGCACCAUCUCUUCAGGUGAAGGCCAGUGAUCACAGUGUGUCCUUGUGAGAAAAUGUUUCAAUUUGAAGGAAAGGGCUGCUAUAGCAGGCAAAUUCUGCACUACUAAGGACUCUUAAAAUCCAGUCUUCCGAACCCCAGGCCUCUUCCUAACUCCCCACAUCAAUGAGUUUGACCUUGAACUUCAGAUCCUUUCACCACAACUUCCUGAAUGCUGUGCUUACAGGGGCGUGCCUGGUUUUAGCAGGACUGAAUCUCAAGCUCGCCACCCACACGCUAGAACAAAAGGACUUGCAAGUUGCACAGCUUCUGGAAACUUCCAUACACCAGAGGGAGGUAUAGGAAAUGUUCGGUUGGCUACAGUUAGAGGCAACUACUCUGUUGCUUCCAACUUAACUUCACAGCCUCCUCAGGUAACGGAGACAAAGACUUCUGCAACCAGGCCAGGCAGAGCUCCGUUCUUACCAUUAAAGUCCCCUUUGGUCUGCUGGCCCAAGGCAGACUCAUCCGAUACUUGCUGCCUCUGCCUACACAAAUCUCGUCCAGCAACUCUCCUCUUUGGUAUACAUCCAUCCCACCAUGUAGACCAAAACUCAGGGUAUGGGCACCAUUCAAUCACCACCAUCCUGGAUUUCCACCUCUACACAUUAUGGGUAAGUUAUAGUGUCCUCAUGACCAUGCGUGAGCGCCUGCCAUUCUAGCCAAAGGGGGCCAUUUAACAUUCAGCAGAUGGCUGCACAUAGACAUUUAAAACUGAGAGAACACAGUGCACCAGGGAGAAUGUGAGGACUACUAGGACAAUGCCAAGAGUUUGGCUCCUGAUCCAGGAUUCUGGUCCAGCCAUCACACCCCUCCCCUGAUACCAACUACACAUCAUAUGGUUAAAGCAGAGGCCCGUGAGGAGUGCGUCUGUCUCAACUAAAUAGUCUGUUAGUGCUUUCA